UACAGGGGGGGCAAGCGUUGUUCGGAAUUACUGGGCGUAAAGGGCUCGUAGGUGGCCAACUAAGUCGGACGUGAAAUCCCUCAGCUUAACUGGGGAACUGCGUCCGAUACUGGAUGGCUUGAGUUUGGGAGAGGGAUGCGGAAUUCCAGGUGUAGCGGUGAAAUGCGUAGAUAUCUGGAGGAACACCGGUGGCGAAGGCGGCAUCCUGGCCCGACACUGACACUGAGGAGCGAAAGCCAGGGGAGCAAACGGG
rnacentral:rRNA from 1 species